rnacentral:rRNA from 1 species
UCGGUUGAUCCUGCCAGAGGCGACCGCUUUUGGAGUUCGAUUAAGCCAUGCGAGUCGAGAGCCUUAGGGGCUCGGCAUACUGCUCAGUAACACGUGGAUAACCUGCCCUAUUGUCUGGAAUAACCUCGGGAAACUGAGAACAAGGCCGGAUAACCCACAAUGCCUGGAACGGUUUGUGGGUGAAGAUAGGAUGGGUCUGCGGCGUAUCAGGUCGUAGGGGGUGUAAUGGACCUCCUAGCCAUCGACGCGUACGGGUGUUGGGAGACAUAGCCCGGAGAUGGAUUCUGAGACACGAAUCCAGACCCUACGGGGUGCAGCAGGCGCGAAAACUUCACACUGCAGGAAACUGUGAUGAGGGAACUCCAAGUGCAUUCACUAUGUGGAUGCUUUUUUUGACUAUUAAUCGGUCAACGAAUAAGGGCUGGGAAAGACCGGUGCCAGCCGCCGCGGUAAUACCGGCAGCUCAAGUGGUCGUCGCUUUUAUUGGGCCUAAAACGUCCGUAGCCUGUUUGGUAAAUCUGUGGGUAAAUCAACCAGCUUAACUGGUUGAAUUCUGCAGAGACUGCCAGACUAGGGACCGGGAGAGGUGUGGGGUACUCUAGGGGUAGGGGUAAAAUCCUGUCAUCCUUAGAGGACCACCAGUUGCGAAGGCGCCACACUGGAACGGAUCCGACGGUCAGGGACGAAGCCUAGGGGCACGAACCGGAUUAGAUACCCGGGUAGUCCUAGGUGUAAACGCUGUGAACUUGGUGUCGGGGAUCC